rnacentral:tRNA from 1 species
GGAGAAGCUGUGACUCAACGGUAGACCAUCUGCCUGGCAUGCAGAAGGCCACAGGUUCAGUCCUUGGCAUCUCCA